CCGGGAGCUCACGUCGAGAGAGCGGCUGUUUUUGAGUUCGGUCUGUCCGAGCACGCAAGACGAAGAAAGAAACUAUAGUCAGCUGAAAAUUUGGCCAGCCACGAGCGGAGACGUGACAGGAAGGUAAGCCGUCUUGUACCCGUUUCCUGAUAAACCCUCUCAGGCAGUGAUAUCAGCAAAGUCUGCUGAUCCUGUGUGCUACCUCAAUCCAUCCAGGAUUCGCCUCCCUGUCCCGAAUUUUGAUUAACAGACAGGUAUAAAACAGAGAGGCCAACAGGUUGAGAAGAGACCACAACACAAAGGGGGGUUUGAUGCCUCAGUGGGGAUGAAUGCGCCCCCCCCAACCGCCCCCGCCCCCCCAUUGCCCAGCAAAGGGAACCCCACACAGGGCUUGAUAAGAACCAGCCACCUCACAGUUAGUGAAACAAAUAGCUGGAAUACAUGGACGCAGUUCAAGUUAAGUAGCCUACCUUGUAUCAGUACCCUACAAACCUUGUUGCGGCGCAUGGAAUAUGGAUGGAGAACGCUCAAAUUCUGCCUUUUUUAAUCUUUAGCGCUUCUUCCGUGUGCUUCUCCCUGGGGGAGGGUUAGCGGGGACUAGCGGAGAGGCUAAUAUCUCGCUGUCAGCACCUGGUAACCCAAUGGCCGUGGGUGCUUGUUCAUUAUCGGUGAGGAGAGAUGCGGCAGCAGCAGCAGCGGCAGCCUGAAGAAGUCUUCCUGCCCUACGCCCACCCUGUCUCUGGUAAGAUGAGCUGAACGGCGUCCUGCUACUGCGCACUCCCACGCACAGUUACCUGAGGACGGUUCCGAGACUUGAGCCCGCAACCACCCAUUAAAUGUCAAUUCUUCUUCGCUGCGUCGGCCCCAGCGAGACGUGGAGCUCUACGCUUAAAAGCACGGAUCGUGUCCGUUGAAACAGAACUCUUAAUCAGGUGAAAUUGCGCUUGUCGCUGAGGAUGGAUACAUUAAGCCUAUCAGCAUGCAGGGAGAAUAAAUUGAUGUAUCACAGGAUGUGA